UCUAGAACUCGAGAUAUGGGCUGAACACUGAACAGUAUAUGGGCUGCAGGAUAGAUUCGGACUUCUUCGUUGUUGUUACAAUUUGGACUUGAAAACGGCCUUGUUAAAUCUUGAACUCCUCAUGAAAGUUGUAGGCCUAUGUCUUAGCUUUCCAUC
rfam:Populus trichocarpa isolate Nisqually-1 chromosome 7, whole genome shotgun sequence.